CCUACGGGAGGCAGCAGUGGGGAAUAUUGGACAAUGGGGGGAACCCUGAUCCAGCCAUGCCGCGUGUGUGAAGAAGGCCCUCGGGUUGUAAAGCACUUUCAGUGAGGAAGAACGCCUGGUGGUUAAUACCCAUCAGGAAAGACAUCACUCACAGAAGAAGCACCGGCUAACUCCGUGCCAGCAGCCGCGGUAAUACGGAGGGUGCGAGCGUUAAUCGGAAUUACUGGGCGUAAAGCGCGCGUAGGUGGCUUGAUAAGCCGGUUGUGAAAGCCCCGGGCUCAACCUGGGAACGGCAUCCGGAACUGUCAAGCUAGAGUGCAGGAGAGGAAGGUAGAAUUCCCGGUGUAGCGGUGAAAUGCGUAGAGAUCGGGAGGAAUACCAGUGGCGAAGGCGGCCUUCUGGACUGACACUGACACUGAGGCGCGAAAGCGUGGGUAGCAAACAGGAUUAGAUACCCCGGUAGUC
rnacentral:rRNA from 1 species